GUUGUGCAUCUUUCUCUCUUGCGUUGCACUUUGCCGAGUGGAACCUGCGUCAGAGAAUCGGAUCUGGAGGUUAUAUCAGUUUAUUCGGAUAGAAGAAUCGAGUGCAACACAGCGGGCAGCUAAUAAAUGCCUUGACAUAAUCCUGGUUUUGUGAAUUUACCGCUUUUUAAGUAAUCACAGGGCAAAUAUUAAAUACCCAUAUAAAAAUAGCAUUUUAUUACUUCAGGGAACUUAAAAUUCCCAACCGGUAUAAUAAAAAAUCUUAAGUAAUGGAUAAUAACGGGUAAAUUAUAAGCAGACACUUUAAUAAAUAUGUAUUGGAUUCUAUUACAUGACAUUUCCUAAGAAGAAACCUCAACUAAAAUAUUGACAUUAUAUAUUCUUAGGAAAUUCGUAGUCAAUGUUUGUAAUAACAAGAAAGGAAGCAAACUAGGUUAUUCCGAAGUUUAUUUACUAUUGUAGCUAUUACAAGAAAAAAAAGUAUUGCAUAUGAUUUUUAUGCGUAUGAAUAUGUUUAAAAAACAAUGAAGCUAUUUUGAUUUUCCGAAUCCUUUUUUGAUCGUUUUUAUAUUAAAUCUUGAGCUGUUCCUAGAUCCAGUAAUAUUAUAACUCGUAUUUUUUAACUUUCAAAUUUAGCUUUACAAAUUUGAUACAUAGAUAUUUUGUUUCAUGUGUAGUACAUUAAUAUAAAAAUAAAUUCAAUUUAAAUAA